rnacentral:lncRNA from 1 species
AAUUACAAUUGUUAUGAAUACUUUAUUCACUUCAUUAUAAGAAUAAGAGUUGCUCCCUCUAUUUAUAGAUUUAGGUUAACUUGGACUACAAGUCAAAGCCCAAAACUAUAAAAGGCUAAAAUAGCUAAUACUACUAAAAUAGGCCUAAGUCAAAAUCUUGUGUGAAGCAACAUGCUUCGACACUUCAACAGACUAACACAAUUCAAAACAUUAGGUGGUUCGACACUUCCUUACUUUUGUCGAAC